GACAGAGGGGGGCAAGCGUUGCUCGGAAUUACUGGGCGUAAAGGGCGCGUAGGCGGGAUGGCAAGUCGGUCGUGAAAUCCCUCGGCUCAACCGAGGAACGUCGAUCGAUACUGCUGUUCUUGAGGAUUGCAGAGGAGACUGGAAUUCCCGGUGUAGCGGUGAAAUGUGUAGAGAUCGGGGAGGAACGACCGGUGGCGAAGGCGGGUCUCUGGGCAAUUCCUGACGCUGAGGCGGCGAAAAGCGUGGGGAGCAAACGGG
rnacentral:rRNA from 1 species